AACGGUCUUGAAAGGCCGGUCAUAGAGGGUGCCAACCCCGUAGUCGAAAUGCCAACCGUGGCGCGAAGAGUAUCCCAAGUAGCACGGGGCCCGUGAAAUCCCGUGUGAAUCUGUCAGGACCACCUGAUAAGCCUAAAUACUCCCAGAUGACCGAUAGCGGACAAGUACCGUGAGGGAAAGGUGAAAAGUACCCCGGGAGGGGAGUGAAAUAGUACCUGAAACCGUUUGCUUACAAACCGUUGGAGCAGCCUUAGUAGCUGUGACAGCGUGCCUUUUG
rnacentral:rRNA from 1 species